rnacentral:tRNA from 1 species
GGGCAGGUGGCGGAAUUGGAAGACGCACAAGGCUUAGGACCUUGUGGCCGAAAGGCCGUGAGGGUUCGAAUCCCUCCCUGCCCA